rnacentral:rRNA from 1 species
UGCAAGUCGAACGAGAUCUUCGGAUCUAGUGGCGCACGGGUGAGUAACACGUGGGAACCUGCCUUUAGGUACGGAAUAACGUCUGGAAACGGACGCUAAUACCGUAUAUCUCCUCCGGGAGAAAGGUCCGCCGCCUAAAGAGGGGCCCGUGUCAGAUUAGCUUGUUGGUGAGGUAAUGGCUCACCAAGGCUACGAUCUGUAGUUGGUCUGAGAGGAUGAUCAGCCACACUGGGACUGAGACACGGCCCAGACUCCUGCGGGAGGCAGCAGUGGGGAAUAUUGGACAAUGGGGGCAACCCUGAUCCAGCAAUGCCGCGUGUGUGAUGAAGGCCCUAGGGUUGUAAAGCACUUUCAACGGUGACGAUGAUGACGGUAACCGUAGAAGAAGCCCCGGCUAACUUCGUGCCAGCAGCCGCGGUAAUACGAAGGGGGCGAGCGUUGUUCGGAAUAACUGGGCGUAAAGGGCGCGUAGGCGGUCUAUCCAGUUGGGCGUGAAAGCCCUGGGCUCAACCCAGGAAUUGCGUCCAAUACUAAUAGACUAGAGACCGAGAGAGGAUAGUGGAAUUUCCAGUGUAGAGGUGAAAUUCGUAGAUAUUGGAAAGAACACCAGUGGCGAAAGCGGCUAUCUGGCUCGGUUCUGACGCUGAGGCGCGAAAGCGUGGGGAGCAAACAGGAUUAGAUACCCCUGGUAGUCCACGCCGUAAACGAUGUC